GCUGGGGCCUGAGCCACAGCCUGACCUGUGGUGGCAGGGCACACCUCACACAGUACCUCCACCAUGCAGGCGUAACACGCAACAGGGGUCUCCAGAAGCCCUGUGCAGAGUGUGAUGACCAUCAGUGAUUUGACCUCAGCUCAGAGCCAGGAGACACCCAGCUCAGGGAGCACGCCCAGCACUCUCUGCUUGAACAUCCUCUGUCCUUGACUAACAAGGUACCUUUUAUUGCCCUAUGUGAAUCUUGUCUGAGAGUUUCCCAUGGAUACAAAGCCUAUGAAAAACUUGGUUAUGAGAAACCGGAAAAUCGUGGUACCUCAUGAAUCAGAUGCCUCUGGCUGUUCUCUCUCACACAGCUACCAUCAAAACCUCCCCUCAACCAGUCCUUGGAGCAGCCACGUCCUCAGUUUAUGAUACGGCACUGAAAUCCUCGGUUUAUACAUUGGUGCCAAAAGAAGCCUGUGACCUGUGGAGAGUGCCGAUGCUCUCUGCCCCGGGACAAAAGAACCCCUCCUUUGCUAUCCCAUCAUCUAGCGAGCAUCUUCCCGUCUCUCAUUUGACUCUCCGUUCUCCACCCACCAAUGGGGAGGCAGAUCUGAGUACUGACCUAAUUUGAUUUCUUAAUUUGAAAAAUCUACUUUGCAACCCAAUUAAGUCGUGUGUACUUCACUUUAGUCUUGCGAUCCCUUGGCUUAUGCAGGCAGAAGUGCAUAAGCUACCGGAACACGAAAACCAGGCUCCUGCCGCAUUAGAUCUUCAUCAUUCCCACU